UGAAGAAGGUCUUCGGAUCGUAAAACCCUGUUGUUAGAGAAGAAAGUGCGUGAGAGUAACUGUUCACGUUUCGACGGUAUCUAACCAGAAAGCCACGGCUAACUACGUGCCAGCAGCCGCGGUAAUACGUAGGUGGCAAGCGUUAUCCGGAUUUAUUGGGCGUAAAGGGAACGCAGGCGGUCUUUUAAGUCUGAUGUGAAAGCCUUCGGCUUAACCGGAGUAGUGCAUUGGAAACUGGGAGACUUGAGUGCAGAAGAGGAGAGUGGAACUCCAUGUGUAGCGGUGAAAUGCGUAGAUAUAUGGAAGAACACCAGUGGCGAAAGCGGCUCUCUGGUCUGUAACUGACGCUGAGGUUCGAAAGCGUGGGUAGCAAACAGGAUUAGAUACCCUGGUAGUCCACGCCGUAAACGAUGAAUGCUAAGUGUUGGAGGGUUUCCGCCCUUCA
rnacentral:rRNA from 1 species